CCUUUGACGUUAGCGGCGGACGGGUGAUUAACACGUGGGUAACCUACCUAUAAGACUGGGAUAACUUCGGGAAACCGGAGCUAAUACCGGAUAAUAUUUCGAACCNCAUGGUUCGAUAGUGAAAGGUGGUUUUGCUAUCACUUAUAGAUGGACCCGCGCCGUAUUAGCUAGUUGGUAAGGUAACGGCUUACCAAGGCGACGAUACGUAGCCGACCUGAGAGGGUGAUCGGCCACACUGGAACUGAGACACGGUCCAGACUCCUACGGGAGGCAGCAGCU
rnacentral:rRNA from 1 species